CACCUUCUAACAAGCUCAUAUACUAAAACUGGAACAAUACAGAAGAUUAGCAUGGCCUCUGCACAAGAAUGACAUAUAAUUCAUGAAGCAUUCCAUAUUUUU